rnacentral:lncRNA from 10 species
AAGAUUCAAACAACCAACCCUGAUUUCCUGCUUCUCCUUUUCAUGAGUGUUCCUGUGGUCUCUGCACCUCCUUUCUUGUGUAAUGUUUAACAGCAGCAAAAUUAAAACAUGUAAGUUCCAUGCGGCAGUCCUCAAGGCCAUGAUAGCAACUGCUGCUGGUGGUGCCCGAUGGGGAAGGGGCUGCCAAACUAUGCAUCUGACCAAGGACUAAUAUCCAGAAUCUACAAGAACACAAACAACUCAACAAGAAAAAACAAUCCCAUUAAAAAGUGGGUAAAGGACAUAAACAGACAUUUUCCAAAGGAAGACAUACAAGUGGCCAAGAAACAUAUGAAAAAUGCUCAACAUCACUAAUCACCAGAUAAAUGCAAAUUAAAACCACAAUGAGAUAC